CACGCUAAAAAAAAGAAAAAAAAGACUAAAUAUAAUGUGUUUUUGUAUCUGUUUCUUGACCAAGCCUCGUACCUAAAACUUGCAAUUUAAUUAAAAUCAAACUUGUUGAGCUCUGAGUUUAUACUAUGAGAACAGACGUACACUACACUGCAAAUAUGGGCAGUGUCGAUUAUGAUCACACAAAACUUGGUGCAACUGCCGGAUUUAGUGGAAGGAUCUGUAUACUUUCCCAGCGUGUUCAGUUUACAAGAGAUACACCUGUGACAUAUUUCCAAAAUAUGCGCAGUCAUAGAACUGUUUUUUUUUUAUACAAUUAAGUCCGAAACAAGAGAACGGCUCGCCUGGUGGUAAUCAAUUACCAUAGCUCAUAGACAAAGCGCGUUGCUGACCCUACACUCGACCCCAGGAGCUCUGGCCACUAGCAGGAACUAGUGUUCCUGCUGGAUCGCAGUGUUCUCAAACGUGUUCCACUGUUUAAGAACAGUGCUGCUAGCAGCUGCUGCAGUGUGCUAUUUAACUGUUAUAUUCUAAAAUGUCAAAGUACUUCCCCAGUCGAGUUGCUCCAGAUUUAGAGCAGGAUAUUUCCUACUGGCCCUAGCUCAGUUUUCGUUUUCAAGAUUUUAUAAGCCGUUGUCUCUAUAAAUGCAGGGCUGCUUAUAAUAAGGGCAGCAUUUAGUUAUGAAACAAAUAUUUCAAGACACAAAAGGUAGAGCAGACAUUUUAAAAUGUAAAUGAUACCACUUGGCAUUUCCAGUACUAUUCAAACCUCUAAUAGUCAAAAGUUGAAAUCAAAACACUACCAUUAAAAAAAAUUGUUGUAUAAGCUUGUUGUCCUCUUUGACCAUCUGUAAUUGUUUAUUAUUAAAUCUAAUUCUUACACUCUCUAAUAUCUCCAACGAUCUUGGGCUGCAAGAAACUAGUGCUUCCUAACAUUUUCUUCAAGUCUUCCUUAAUGUAGGUCAUUCUAGACUUUCUAAAUGUAGCUUCAAUUCUAACACCUAAGAAUUCAACAAUUGUCAGUUUAUUUUAUUUGUUUUCUUUUAAUUUCUACUUCUGUGUCGGUUACUUCAGGUUUCCUUAAAAUUUCGUCUACAAUAUGAGCCAUAUACAAUAAGUAUUAUUACUAGUCACAUACACAAGACCAAAGCCUCCUAAAAAGAAGACUGAUCUUCAGGCACUGAUAUACCUAAUUUAGACUGAGUAUCUUAAGCUCGUAA
rnacentral:misc_RNA from 1 species